CUCCAGACUCCUACGGGAGGCAGCAGUGGGGAAUAUUGCACAAUGGGGGAAACCCUGAUGCAGCGACGCCGCGUGAGCGAUGAAGUAUUUCGGUAUGUAAAGCUCUAUCAGCAGGGAAGAAGAUGACGGUACCUGACUAAGAAGCCCCGGCUAACUACGUGCCGGCAGCCGCGGUAAUACGUAGGGGGCAAGCGUUAUCCGGAUUUACUGGGUGUAAAGGGAGCGUAGACGGCGAUGCAAGCCAGAUGUGAAAGCCCGGGGCUCAACCCCGGGACUGCAUUUGGAACUGUGUGGCUGGAGUGUCGGAGAGGCAGGCGGAAUUCCUAGUGUAGCGGUGAAAUGCGUAGAUAUUAGGAGGAACACCAGUGGCGAAGGCGGCCUGCUGGACGAUGACUGACGUUGAGGCUCGAAAGCGUGGGGAGCAAACAGGAUUAGAUACCCUAGUA
rnacentral:rRNA from 1 species